UUCCUACAUUACAGAUUUGCCCAAACUGACAGUACAUGAAUAUAUAUAGGUGUACCAUUCACCCUGACCGGGACUCAAACCCGGGACCCUCGGAAUUUCGUACCGAGGCUCUACCGACUAUGCUAUCCGGCAACUUACACAUCUCCCCUUAAUAGUUCUGAACCGUGACAUACUCCCCUGCUUCACUGAAAUUCGUCCUCGAAUUUCUAAUGGGUAAAGGAAACAAUGUGAAAUUGAACUCGGAGCUAUAUAUCAUCACGACCCUUCGUUAGACGUCAAAUGUCACAGGGUGAGAAAAAUGUGCAGCCUAACCGGGACUCGAACCUGUGACCCUCGGAAUACCGUACCGCGGUUCUACCGACUGGGCUUUCCGGCCGCUUACACAUCAUCUCUUCUAAACAGUGAAUAGUUUCGAACCGUGAUACUGAGAAUAUGUUGAUUAAAUCUCCUGGCAUGCGUUUUAGAUUGAGGAUCUUAUGUGCCUACAAAUAUAAUAAUAUUGCCAAACAAAACGGAUUAUAACACUGACAUCCAGGCCAUUAUUUUUUUGUUUACUGACCCGCUGCAUCCUUUUUAUAGAAAAUGAAAAGAAAAAAUCUGCCCCGAAAAGAAUUUGCGUUGAAAUACGCUGCCAGGUAAAUUUAGAUAUUAAUGUCCUAUCGUCUAACUUAUUACUUAUAAGACUUGUCAAAGAAACGCGGAAAUAAAUUUUGACGGCGGUGUAUUUUGCAUGUAGUAUGAAAUUAAAUGUCUGUAAAAUUGGUCAAAUCGUUCUCGUAAAAUUUAUUAGGCUAAUAUCAAUAUACUUAAACUAAAUUUUAUGUAUAUUUGUAUAAAAUCAUACAUUUUGAAGGUCCAAUUAUAGCAUAGAAAUGUCAAAGAAAACAACUAAAAAAGAAGAAAAAAGGCAAAAUGCGCAAGUAAUCACAAGGAAGGAGCGAGAAAAAUCUUAUUCAAUGAGAUUACAUUAGAUUUAUAAAGAAAGAAGACAAGAUCACUAUUUACAGAUUAACCAAAAUCAUUAAUCUUUAAAGGGAGAUUGAAUACGGGUUUUCGUAAUCAACAAAAUAAAAAAUGCACUUACGAUUAAUAAUUUACAUAUGUCAGUAACUGAUCUGCUAAUUAUCCGGCAGAAAUAUUUUUCAACUUGGGCAAUAAUUUAACACGUGUAAUAUUUUCUUUUUUAACUUCUGAUAUAUAAAUACAUGUGUGCAAGUCAGUUGAGUUUUGGCACCUUUGAUUAUUCUGAUUAAACAACUGGGACUAAAUGUGUGUGAACAUCAAAUAUUGACCUACUCUUUUGACGGGUCGGCUCGUGUGUGUUGUUAAAUAAUGGCAACAUGAUAUUUUAUCAAUUUGUGGAUGUUAUUUUGUUUUACACAUGUGAACCAGGACAAUGAAAAAGCAUUUGUUAACAAACACGUUUUUAUCACCCGUUUACAUAUGAAUUUAUAAGUUCUCAUAUGUUUAACCUUUUACCGCAUGACCAUAUUGUAAAAAAUGGCUGUUUUCAUUACAAAGCCUCCAGUUACAAGUUCAUCAAUCUUUAAUUUCAUGUUACAAUGGCUUCGGUGGACAUCUCAAAAUAUCUAAGCUGUAGUUCUUUGGUUUGUUUAAAAUAAGAUUUUUAUUUAAGUUUUUACUAUGUACAUAUAGGGAAAAAUCAAUGAUCCCCCGGGACGGGGCAAAUUUUGACCUCAUGGCUUUUAUUUAAACAAACUUGGUAGACACCGAUUAGAAGAUGUUUCAUGCUUUAUAUCUUAGCUCUAACUCUUUGGAUUUUUUAACAGAAGAAUUUUUAUACAUAUAGGGAAAAACCAAUGAUCCCCCGGGGCGGGGACAAUUUUGACCCCAGGGAUUUUAUUUGAACAAACUUGGUAAACACUGACUAGACAAUGUUUCAUGCCAAAUAUUUAAGCUCUAGAUCUUUUUCUUUUUUUUUGUAAAGUAGAUUUUUUCUAUUUUUUCUUUCGGUUUCCAUGGCAACCAGAAUUCUGAAUGGAAUUAAAUUCUUUGAAGAAUUCUUUAAGUUGAUUACCAAAGAAACUUUCCUGUGAAGUUUGGAUGUAAUUGGCUGAGCGGUUUAUGAGGAGAUGUCAUUUAAAGUAAAAGUUUACAGACGGACGGACAGACAGACGGGCGGAAGGACGCCGGGCGAAAAACGAUAACAAAAGCUCACCAUUUUUCACUUUGUGAUUGGUGAGCUAAAAAGUAGAUGCAUCUGACAAAUGCUGCGAUAAACCACAGAGAAUAGAAGAGAUUUACAGGUAGUCAAUAUGCUAAAAAUAGAUUUACUGAUAAGCACAGACCAAAGACACUGUUGCUGGUGGUACAAACGAUGUUUGUACUACCCACUGAUACACGCUUGAGUAUGGAUUUACCUAGUACAUUUUAAGCUUACCUGAGCUUGCUCAGGGUGAGCUUUAGGAUCGUUGAAUGGCUGUCGUCCGUCCUUUGUCAGUCGGACGUCGUCCAUCCACAUUUGUACUUUAACACUCUAGCGGUCACAUAUUUGCCUCAGUCAUUAGCAAAUUUGUAAGGAUGCUUGUCUAGGUAAUUGCUCGGAUGCGUUCGAACAUGGGUCAUCUCGGAUGAAAAAAUUAGGUCACAGGAGCUAAAAAUAUAAAAAUCUUGUUAACACUCUUGUGGCUACAGUUUUGAUCCAAAUAUCCUUGAAAUUGGUCUGAAAGUUUAUUUAGAUGAUUUCUAGGUCGAGUUCGAAUAUUGGUCACCUGAGUUCAGACACUAGGUCACACCUUCAAAAUAUGGAAAAACAUUGUUUACACUUUAGUGGUCACAUUUUUGACUCAAUCGUCAUCAAACUUUGUCAGUAUUCUAGAUGUCUAGAUAAUUGUUCGGAUAAGUUCCAACAUGAAUCAUCUUGCAUGAAAAACUAGGUCACAUGAGCUAAAAAUAGAAAAAUCUUGUUAACACUUUAAUGGCUACUGUUGUGAUCCAAAUAUCCUGAAAAUUGGUCUGACAGUAUGUUUUGAUGAUUUCUAGGUCAAAUAUUGAUCACCUGGGCUCAAAAACUGGGCCACACGGCUAAAAUAUGGAUAGACCUUGUUCGCAUAGUGGUCACAUUUUUGACUCGAUUAUCAUUAAACUUGGUCAGGAUGCUUGUCUAGAUAAUUGCUGGGAAGGAUUCCAACAUUGGUCAUUACGGAUGAAAAAAACCUUGUUAACACUCUAGUGGUCAUAUUUUAGACUCAACUGUCAUUAAACUUGGUCAGGAUGUUUGUCUACGUAAUUGCUCGGAUGAGUCCGAUGUGUCAAGUGAGCGAUCUAGGGCCAUCUUGGCCCUCUUGUUACUAGAUAAGAAAAUGAUGUAUUUAUGUAUAAUGAUCAAAUUUUGAAAUGUGUUAAUAAAUUUACUUAUCUAGGUGUAUCUAUUUCGUCAAACGGUAGCUUGUUUCAAGCACAAAAAUCUUUGUCAGAACAAGCCUUUAAGGCCCUUUACUCACUUAAUUCACUUUUUAAUAACGUGUCUCUAGAAAUAUCGGAAAAGUUAAAAUUAUUUGACUACAUGAUUAUGCCUGUUCUCAAUUAUGAUUCUGUAGUAUGGGGUUUGCAUAAUGCACCAGACAUAGAACAUGUUCAUAAAAAGUUUGUGAAACAACUUCUGGGUUUUAUACAGCAAACAUCAAAUGCUGCUGUAUAUGGUGAAUUUGGAAGGGUACCUUUGUUAAUAUUACGCAAAAUACGUGUUGUAAAAUACUGGUAUAGAAUAGUCAAACAGCCUGAUUCUCUUACGUAUAAAUUGUUAAUGAUGAAAUAUAGAAAUAAUCAAUAUGUUAAUAAAUGGUCGAUUGAUGUUAGAAAAUUGUUACAGAAUUUAGGAUUUUCUAAUAUUUUUGAUAAUCCCAAUGUUAUUUAUUUAAAAACCAUCAUUCAACGUAUAUAUGAUCAAUAUAAUCAACAAUGGUUAUCGGAAAUUAGUAAUUCAUCAAAAUUAAAGACGUAUGAGAUUAUAAAAGAUAGUUUUGAUUUUGAAAAAUACCUUUCUUUAGUAAAAAAUCCAAAGUUUAGAAUAGCUUUAUCACGAUUUAGAUGCUCAGCACUUAUGAUAGAAGAAGGUUGAUUUAGGAAUAUUGACAGAGAUCAGAGAAUUUGUUUAAAAUGUAACAUGAAUGAAAUUGAAACAGAAUAUCACUUUUUACUAGUUUGUCCAUUUUAAAGGGAAUUAAGGAAAGAACAUUUACCAAAAUAUUAUUGCUCUUGGCCUACCUAAAAUAAAUAUAUAUCUUUAAUGAAAAAUUCUAAGCAUGGACCUGUUAUUACAUUAUCAAAUUAUAUAUACUUUGUGAAAGAACGAAUGAUUGAUUGUUUUCAAAUAAUGAUAUUGGUAUAUAUAGCAUACUAUUGUUUACAAACAUAUAUUGAAAUACAAUGUAUUAUGUGAUCUUUAAAUAUAAAAAUGUUAAUGUAAAAAUUAUUUGUAUUCAGUUACAUACUUUUCUCAUAAACUAUUUGUAACCGUCAUUCUGUUUAUGGCGACGGACAUUGUAAAAUGUUUAUGCCUUUUGAAAUAAAAUCUUGAAAAUUUAAAAUCUUGUUAAAAAAAAGCUCUGGUGGAACAAAAUAUUGUUGUUAUGGUAUUUGUUAUAGAAACUCAAGGUACAAUGACAGAGAUUAUAUGCAAGAUAUGUUUUUUUUUCACACCAUUUCCAAAACCAAAAACAAAUGAAUUAAAGUGUAAUAAGUUAAUGUGGUUGGAAAGACAGACUUUAUUGUAAAUCACAAUUAAAAGUGGACUAACAUUUACAGCAAACAUAUUGUUGGAGGUAAAGGACCUACAGACAAUCAUCCAGACCCUGUUCCUGCAACAUAUACACCACUUCAGUUAAACGAUACAAAAUACAACUUAGUGCAGAAAGCAUACUCUGAUGAGAAAUACAAGUAAUUAUAAAAUAAACAGGUAGAAAAGUAUUCACCUAAAGAAAGCCACCAACUCCAAGGGCAGCACCUGUAUCUAAGAAAACUUUGUUUGAGGUUUCAGAGGCUCUACUUUAGUUGAACGAUGCAAAAUACAAAAAGUGCAGAAAGCAUACUCUGAUGAGAAAUACAAGUAAUAUCCAAAUAAACAGCCAGACGUGCUUGAUGCCCAAGAUAUAUACUUUGCCACAAAGAUUAGAUCAACAAAUGAUAAGGAAACCCAAACUCAAAUGAUUCACAGUGAUCAGCAUUUAAAAAAAAACAGAACGGUGCAUUCAGAGCAAUAAGUCAUCAAUAGCUUUGAGUCAAAAACAGAACACAUGAAUUUAAAAUCACCUGCCUGCUGUUAUCAUAUAAAAACCAUACAACUUUAAAAUGUUUGGUCGGCAUUGCCCCCACUGGCGCAAUUACUUUUCUAUCGAGUGUAUAUGAAGAAAACAAAAGUGACAGGGAUAUUGUAAUCUCCUCAAAGUUUGCUGAAAUUCUGAAAUCAGGGGAUUUAGUAAUAGCUGACAUAGGAUUCAUAAAUAGAAUAUUUUCAGUAAUAAAAAGGAAACAUAAUUUAUAAAUUAAAAUUACAAAUAGUGUUAAUAUAAUUCAUUUAAGACAUUGAAUAUUAUAUAAAAGCAAAAUUUUAUACUUCUUGAUCAAGCUACUAUUCUAUAUAAUUUUAUACGUAUAUGUAUGUAUUAUGCACAUCUUGCAAAAAGUGAAUAUAAUGUAGAUUAUAUUCACUGUUUGCAAGAUGUGCGUAAUACAUACAUAUACAUAAAAAAUUAUAUACAAUAGUAAUUUGAUCAAAUCAUUGGAUAACCUUCAUUCAUGAAGAUUGAAAUAAGAUAUACAUGCCUGCAAUUUGUAUAUUUAUUGUUAAUGUUAUUGUUAUAAGUUUGAUGUUUGUUUUGUUGUUUUUUUUUCAGAUAUAGUUGUUAUCUUUGAUAGCAGUUCUUUCAAGUGAUUGAUUCAUAAUGUUAUAGUUUUAAGUUUAAAAGUUAAA